rnacentral:rRNA from 1 species
UACGGAGGGAGCUAGCGUUGUUCGGAAUUACUGGGCGUAAAGCGCACGUAGGCGGCUAUUCAAGUCAGAGGUGAAAGCCCAGGGCUCAACCUUGGAACUGCCUUUGAAACUAGAUAGCUAGAAUCCUGGAGAGGCGAGUGGAAUUCCGAGUGUAGAGGUGAAAUUCGUAGAUAUUCGGAAGAACACCAGUGGCGAAGGCGAGUCCCUGGACAACACCUGACACUGAGGCACGAAAGCUAGGGGAGCAAACAGG